rnacentral:lncRNA from 1 species
GAGUCAGAGCCGGGAGAGCUGAUCUGUGUCAGCUGCUGGUUCGCAGUCUCCCAGACGUCAGCCCUGCUUGACCCUUCCUGGGAGAGCCCUGGAGAGGGAGAGGAAUCCGGAGGAAGAAUCGGAUCCUGCUGCUGUCGUUUUGAGCAGUCUCCGUGGUUGGUCUGGUGUAGUUGAUACAGGUCAUGUUUUCUGUUGGUGAUGGGAGCAGAGUGAGUUUGUUCAUUUUUGGUUUCUGAUUUUUGUUAAUUUGAUUUCUGUUGUUUCAUUUUCAUUUGUGCACCACUCGUCUCCCUCCCUGGGAGCCCCGGGAGAGGGAGCAGAAUCCCGAGGCCAGAAUCACAUCCUGGAUGGGGACUUCAUGGGGCGGGGACUGACUGCCGGUCCCCCAGCCCUCUGUGUCCCCAGUGGCUCCCGCGUCCCUCAGCAGAGCGGGGCAGGAGGUGUCAUGGCGGCUCCUGGGGCCCGAGCUGAGAAGGCUGUCAGGGCAGGGGCAGUGGCAGUGCGGGCCCCUCUGUCCUGUGCACAGGGGCUCUGCUGCCCUGUCUGUGGUGGCUGUCCAAGGUUCAACACCCAAGAAGCCCCAAAAACUCGAUCUGCACCAGCAAGGAGACUUCCUGUGGAAGGACCUCUUGGUGGCCAUGGCUCCUGUGCCGGAGGCCCCUGGAUGGAGCUUGUCCCUCUGACCUCUGAAGUGAAAGAGGGUCCUGGGGCCACCAAAGGGUCUACACAGCAGAUGCUGCAGCAGAGCUAUGUCUCUGGUGACCCACGUCUCCACGAUCUUCCACGGGAAGACAGACUCCAAGACUUGCAGCUUCAGAAUCCUUGCCUCUGGGGUCAUCAAGCGUAUAGUGUCCUUCGUCCUCGCUGCCCCAAUGACAGGACAUCAUGGCUUCUCUGGCUGCCCCCAGGUCACCACGAUCGUCCACAGGAAGGUGGACUCCAAGAUGCCCAGCUUGAGAAUGCUAACCUUCCAGAAGAGGUGUUGAAAGGCCCUGGUCCUCGCUGCCCCAAGGACAGGUCAACAGGAUCAUCCGUCCACAGGAAGAUGGACUCCGAGAUGGCCAGCU